rnacentral:RNase_P_RNA from 1 species
GGUGCAAGCCGACCUGUCGUCGUUCCGCUCUGCGGGAGGGAGGAAAGUCCGGGCAACAUAGAGCGCCAUACUUCCUAACGGGAAGGGAUCAGGCUGGCGACGGUCUGAUUACAGAUAGUGCCACAGAAAAUAUACCGCCUUGAUCCCGAUAGCUAUUGGGAUAGGGUAAGGGUGAAAUGGUGGGGUAAGAGCCCACCGUCCUGGCAGUGAUGUCAGGAGCAGGGUAAACCUUAUGGGUUGAAAGACCAAAUAGGUCCCGCACCGGAUUCAAUUCCGGAAAAGGCGGCUCGUCUUUCUGCGGGAUGGGUAGGUCGAUGGACCUUGGUUGCAAAGCCAAGGCUAGAUAAAUGACAGGUAAAUCAUUCAUCAGGAAUGAGGAACAGAACCCGGCUUAUAGGCUUGCACCUAUU